UACGAAGGGGGCUAGCGUUGUUCGGAAUUACUGGGCGUAAAGCGCACGUAGGCGGAUUUGUAAGUCAGGGGUGAAAUCCCGGGGCUCAACCUCGGAACUGCCCUUGAUACUGGCGGUCUCGAGUCCGGGAGAGGUGAGUGGAACUGCGAGUGUAGAGGUGAAAUUCGUAGAUAUUCGCAAGAACACCAGUGGCGAAGGCGGCUCACUGGCCCGGUACUGACGCUGAGGUGCGAAAGCGUGGGGAGCAAACAGG
rnacentral:rRNA from 1 species